rnacentral:rRNA from 1 species
AGGAGAGUUUGAUCCUGGCUCAGGAUGAACGCUGGCGGCAGGCUUAAUACAUGCAAGUCGCGGGGCAGCGCGGGUAGCAAUACCUGGCGGCGACCGGCGGAAGGGUGCGUAACGCGUGAGCAACAUGCCCGUCUCAGGGGGAUAACCGAUGGAAACGUCGCCUAAUACCCCGUAACAACAGUUAUCGCAUGAUGAUUGUUUGAAAGCUCCGGCGGAGACGGAUUGACUCGCGUGACAUUAGCUGGUUGGCGGGGUAACGGCCCACCAAGGCGACGAUGUCUAGGGGUUCUGAGAGGAAGGUCCCCCACACUGGAACUGAGACACGGUCCAGACUCCUACGGGAGGCAGCAGUGAGGAAUAUUGGUCAAUGGGCGGAAGCCUGAACCAGCCAUGCCGCGUGCAGGAAUGAGGCCCUAUGGGUCGUAAACUGCUUUUGCUGCGGAGCAAUAAGGUCUACGUGUAGUCCGAUGAGAGUACGCAGCGAAUAAGCAUCGGCUAACUCCGUGCCAGCAGCCGCGGUAAUACGGAGGAUGCGAGCGUUAUCCGGAUUUAUUGGGUUUAAAGGGUGCGUAGGCUGUUCGUCAAGUCAGUGGUGAAAUGCCGGGGCUCAACCCCGGAGCUGCCAUUGAUACUGUCGGGCUUGAAUCCUGCUGCCGUGGGAGGAAUGAGUAGUGUAGCGGUGAAAUGCAUAGAUAUUACUCAGAACACCGAUUGCGAAGGCAUCUCACGAAACAGGCAUUGACGCUGAGGCACGAAAGCGUGGGGAUCAAACAGGAUUAGAUACCCUGGUAGUCCCCU